AGAGUUUGAUUCAUGCUCAGGACGAACGCUGGCGGCGUGCCUAAUACAUGCAAGUCGAACGAACUCUGGUAUUGAUUGGUGCUUGCAUCAUGAUUUACAUUUGAGUGAGUGGCGAACUGGUGAGUAACACGUGGGAAACCUGCCCAGAAGCGGGGGAUAACACCUGGAAACAGAUGCUAAUACCGCAUAACAACUUGGACCGCAUGGUCCGAGCUUGAAAGAUGGCUUCGGCUAUCACUUUUGGAUGGUCCCGCGGCGUAUUAGCUAGAUGGUGGGGUAACGGCUCACCAUGGCAAUGAUACGUAGCCGACCUGAGAGGGUAAUCGGCCACAUUGGGACUGAGACACGGCCCAAACUCCUACGGGAGGCAGCAGUAGGGAAUCUUCCACAAUGGACGAAAGUCUGAUGGAGCAACGCCGCGUGAGUGAAGAAGGGUUUCGGCUCGUAAAACUCUGUUGUUAAAGAAGAACAUAUCUGAGAGUAACUGUUCAGGUAUUGACGGUAUUUAACCAGAAAGCCACGGCUAACUACGUGCCAGCAGCCGCGGUAAUACGUAGGUGGCAAGCGUUGUCCGGAUUUAUUGGGCGUAAAGCGAGCGCAGGCGGUUUUUUAAGUCUGAUGUGAAAGCCUUCGGCUCAACCGAAGAAGUGCAUCGGAAACUGGGAAACUUGAGUGCAGAAGAGGACAGUGGAACUCCAUGUGUAGCGGUGAAAUGCGUAGAUAUAUGGAAGAACACCAGUGGCGAAGGCGGCUGUCUGGUCUGUAACUGACGCUGAGGCUCGAAAGUAUGGGUAGCAAACAGGAUUAGAUACCCUGGUAGUCCAUACCGUAAACGAUGAAUGCUAAGUGUUGGAGGGUUUCCGCCCUUCAGUGCUGCAGCUAACGCAUUAAGCAUUCCGCCUGGGGAGUACGGCCGCAAGGCUGAAACUCAAAGGAAUUGACGGGGGCCCGCACAAGCGGUGGAGCAUGUGGUUUAAUUCGAAGCUACGCGAAGAACCUUACCAGGUCUUGACAUACUAUGCAAAUCUAAGAGAUUAGACGUUCCCUUCGGGGACAUGGAUACAGGUGGUGCAUGGUUGUCGUCAGCUCGUGUCGUGAGAUGUUGGGUUAAGUCCCGCAACGAGCGCAACCCUUAUUAUCAGUUGCCAGCAUUAAGUUGGGCACUCUGGUGAGACUGCCGGUGACAAACCGGAGGAAGGUGGGGAUGACGUCAAAUCAUCAUGCCCCUUAUGACCUGGGCUACACACGUGCUACAAUGGAUGGUACAACGAGUUGCGAACUCGCGAGAGUAAGCUAAUCUCUUAAAGCCAUUCUCAGUUCGGAUUGUAGGCUGCAACUCGCCUACAUGAAGUCGGAAUCGCUAGUAAUCGCGGAUCAGCAUGCCGCGGUGAAUACGUUCCCGGGCCUUGUACACACCGCCCGUCACACCAUGAGAGUUUGUAACACCCAAAGUCGGUGGGGUAACCUUUUAGGAACCAGCCGCCUAAGGUGGGACAGAUGAUUAGGGUGAAGUCGUAACAAGGUAGCCGUAGGAGAACCUGCGGCUGGAUCACCUUCCUUUCUAGCUGGAUCACCUCCAUAUAAGUUUGAUACAGCGCU
rnacentral:rRNA from 1 species